GUUUCUUACCCACUAGCGAAGGAGUGUGGCGGGAGUGUCUGUAAGUCCCUUACUCGUGAGCUUUUCCUUCGGGGAUUUUAGAAGCUAGUUGAAACCAUGUUGGCUUAAACCCUAUUAACAAAGCCAAGGUCUUUUUGCAAUAUGUUUUUUAAAUUUAAAAAGUUGUUUGAACUCGGGGCUGGAAAGAUGGAUUAGCAAUUAAGGGUGCUUGCUGCUCUUCCAGAAGACCCACAUCAGGCUGCUUAUAGCACCUGUGUGUACUGAAAGUUCUAGGGCAAUCCAAUGCCCUCGUCUGAACACAUUCAGUCAUGUAUACAUACCCACAGACAGACACAUAAUACAUACACAUAAAUAAUAAAAUAGGUCUUUUAAAAAAGUAAUCUUUUGACCUCUAACUAUUGAAAAACAGUAUAAAAUUAUAUAUAUAUAUGUGUGUGUAUAUAUAUAUAUAUAUAUAUAUAUAUAUAUAUAUAUAUAUAAUCUUUUAAACCUAAAUCUUGGUGUCUUUCUGAACUCAAACUUAAUGAGUUUGCUCUUUAAAAGUAUACAUUCAGAAAAUAUUUCCAUGUGCACCUAUGUAUUUUAAAGGACUCUGACCAUUUGCUAACUCCCCUUUUCUUAUAAAUAUUGAUACAACAUGAAUUCCUUUUUCUGUUGAUUAAUUUUCAAAACUCAAUCUUCUUUUUUAGUGGUGGGUUUUAUCUGUGACUUAAGGGGGACAUCAUCUUUAGAUUGUUUUACUCUGAUGAAUUCUAAGUUUCAGGGACAAUCUGUUUCCUGUUUCCUACACUCAUCAUCCUCCCAGCCCUGCUACAUGUCAGGUGCGUCCAGUUCUGACCAUUGCUGUGAGCUGGUAACUGUCAGAAUUAGUCACCAUAGGCCUCAUCAUGGAAGACUCUUUUGUAAAGCAAAGCAAGUCGUUAGUGCCUCCUUUGUUGGCAGUGAAAAAUGCCCACUGGGGCCCAUAGAAUAAUCCUACUUAAAAAUGCUUCUAAAUGUCUUAAUUUAAUGACAGAAUCUACAUUCAUUGCACUAAACAGUUGGCCGUUAGCUCUAAAAGUAUUUAGUUACCAGUGAAAGAGAAUUAGCAAGCACAUUUUCUUGUUUACUGAUAAAAUGUUAUUAAUUUAAUUCUGUUUUAAGUGAACAGUCCUUUAAAAUAUUCUGCAAAAAUUACACUUCACCUUUGUCUAAAUAUUUUAGUGUAUAAGUGACCAUUACUGCUUUAUUCGGGGAAUCUUUGCCCUUUAAAGGGGCAAUAAUAUCCUAGUACAGGAAAAUGUAAAAGGGACUCUCAUGGUUGAGCCUUUCCUAAUGAUAAAUUUACAUUUUCCAGGGAAUUAUUGGCUUGCAGUCUCAGCACUCAGCAGACUAGAUCAGGAAUACUGACUGAGGUUAAUGUGGAUAUGUAGAGAGAGCUUUAGAGAGAAUGUAAAAGCAUGCAGCAGAAGAUUUGGACUGGACCCACCUCUAACGCUUACAUCUGUAUAGAUCCAUUCACUUUGUGGAGGCUUGUCCCUCAGGAACAGCAGAGUUCCUGAUAAAAUGAAAGAAAAGCUUUGUAAAUAUGAGCUAAAACUCUUACAUGUGUGGCUGUACUGGAGCCUUUCUGAUGUUAUCUCAUCCAGGGACCAGAAAGUAAAAGCUGGGUGGCACACAACUACCAGCCAGCGGCUGCCGUGAGAACCAAGUUUUAAAACACAGCAUCUUCGCCUUCAUGGCGAUGUGCAUUCAUCUGCUUCCUAAUGAAAGGAACUGCAGCUUCCAGCAUGGCUAGCCAUCAAAGUAUGAGUCUGUCCUUCCCCAUUAUUGAAUUUGGAUACAUAUUCAGGGCAGAGAUCAAAAGGAGUCAUAUAACUUGAAGAUAGUGACUUGGUUAGGGUAGAAGUGGCUAUAACCUGGAUGCCUUCUAAUUGCACCAUGGUAUUUAUUUUUUUUUUCUGCAUAUCCUCUGUUUACCUAGGAUGUCAUAAUGACAUUUUCUACCUUUUGAGGUCAUUAAGUAAUUAUAUUGGCCAAGUUUGGUAGCCUGAACCUAUAGUUGCAGUUCUUAGGAGACUGAGGCAGAAGAAUCAUAAAUUCAAGAGCUUAAGGCCAGCCUGGAAGACACUGUGAGACCCUGUUUCAGUAACUGCAUAAUCUUUUUUUAAGGUUCAACAAAGAGUGUGAUAGACCCCCACAUCUUACAUGUGUGCAGCAGUCAUUUCUUUGGUGUGGUUGGUACAGUGGCUCUGGAAUGCUAGUUGAUUUUGUUUCUGAGGAGUAAGCCUGGGACUAGAUGAGCCACACCUAAAAAGUAAAAAACUGGUUAAGAGUCAAUGUUGAAAGUAGUUGAGCCCUAUUUUGAGAUGAGUCUUGUGUUUAUAAUAUAUUUCUCUUUCUAUUUGAGGAAAAUAGAAAUUUUAAUAUUUCACAGCAUCUGGUUUUAAGGUAAUUCACAGAAUUUCCCUCUAGAAAUCCAGUACCUGCUGGCAUCGACCUUCUGAAACAAAGACUAACUAAUGACAUAAUCCUCAGCUGACUGACUGAAAAACGGGACUGGACAAACUCCCUGUGGACAGUUGACAGCUUUUUUUCUUUUCUCACAUAUCUGAUAGUCUACACACCAUUGCUUGCCUGGGAUUUCUGACUUGUAUUUCUGUCCGACUUUAAUGGUAAAACUAAUAUAGUAGUUGUUUCCUAGAAGAAAAUGUUGUAAAUAGCAGAAAUAAAGCUUCCAUAGAGAAAUAUGUUGUCAUAUAUAGCAGAAAUAAAGUUUGCUUUGGAUAACUAAA